rnacentral:rRNA from 1 species
GACGAACGCUGGCGGCGUGCUUAACACAUGCAAGUCGAACGGAAAGGCCCUGCUUUUGUGGGGUGCUCGAGUGGCGAACGGGUGAGUAACACGUGAGUAACCUGCGCUUGACUUUGGGAUAACUUCAGGAAACUGGGGCUAAUACCGGAUAGGAGCUCCUGCUGCAUGGUGGGGGUUGGAAAGUUUCGGCGGUUGGGGAUGGACUCGCGGCUUAUCAGCUUGUUGGUGGGGUAGUGGCUUACCAAGGCUUUGACGGGUAGCCGGCCUGAGAGGGUGACCGGCCACAUUGGGACUGAGAUACGGCCCAGACUCCUACGGGAGGCAGCAGUGGGGAAUAUUGCACAAUGGGCGGAAGCCUGAUGCAGCAACGCCGCGUGCGGGAUGACGGCCUUCGGGUUGUAAACCGCUUUCGCCUGUGACGAAGCGUGAGUGACGGUAAUGGGUAAAGAAGCACCGGCUAACUACGUG